rnacentral:rRNA from 1 species
GCUGCUUUGCUGACGAGUGGCGGACGGGUGAGUAAUGUCUGGGAAACUGCCUGAUCGGAGGGGGAUAACUACUGGAAACGGUAGCUAAUACCGCAUAACGUCGCAAGACCAAAGAGGGGGACCUUCGGGCCUCUUGCCAUCGGAUGUGCCCAGAUGGGAUUAGCUACGCUAGGUGGGGUAAAGGCUCACCUAGGCGACGAUCCCUAGCUGGUCUGAGAGGAUGACCAGCCACACUGGAACUGAGACACGGUCCAGACUCCUACGGGAGGCAGCAGUGGGGAAUAUUGCACAAUGGGCGCAAGCCUGAUGCAGCCAUGCCGCGUGUAUGAAGAAGGCCUUCGGGUUGUAAAGUACUUUCAGCAGCGGGGAGGAAGGGAGUAAAGUUAAUACCUUUGCUCAUUGACGUUACCCGCAGAAGAAGAAGCACCGGCUAACUCCGUGCCAGCAGCCGCGGUAAUACGGANAGGUGCAAGCGUUAAUCGGAAUUAACUGGGCGUAAAGCGCACGCAGGCGGUUUGUUAAGUCAGAUGUGAAAUCCCCCGGCGCUCNAGCCUGGGAACUGCAUCUGAUACUGGCAAGCUUGAGUCUCGUAGAGGGGGGUAGAAUUCCCACAGGUGUAGCGGUGAAAUGCGUAGAGAUCUGGAGGAAUACCGGU